CAGGCUUAACACAUGCAAGUCGAGGGGCAGCAUGGUCUUUGCUUGCUAAGGCCGAUGGCGACCGGCGCACGGGUGAGUAACACGUAUCCAACCUGCCGUCUACUCUUGGACAGCCUUCUGAAAGGAAGAUUAAUACAAGAUGGCAUCAUGAGUCCACAUGUUCACAUGAUUAAAGGUAUUCCGGUAGACGAUGGGGAUGCGUUCCAUUAGAUAGUAGGCGGGGUAACGGCCCACCUAGUCUUCGAUGGAUAGGGGUUCUGAGAGGAAGGUCCCCCACAUUGGAACUGAGACACGGUCCAAACUCCUACGGGAGGCAGCAGUGAGGAAUAUUGGUCAAUGGGCGAGAGCCUGAACCAGCCAAGUAGCGUGAAGGAUGACUGCCCUAUGGGUUGUAAACUUCUUUUAUAAAGGAAUAAAGUCGGGUAUGGAUACCCGUUUGCAUGUACUUUAUGAAUAAGGAUCGGCUAACUCCGUGCCAGCAGCCGCGGUAAUACGGAGGAUCCGAGCGUUAUCCGGAUUUAUUGGGUUUAAAGGGAGCGUAGAUGGAUGUUUAAGUCAGUUGUGAAAGUUUGCGGCUCAACCGUAAAAUUGCAGUUGAUACUGGAUAUCUUGAGUGCAGUUGAGGCAGGCGGAAUUCGUGGUGUAGCGGUGAAAUGCUUAGAUAUCACGAAGAACUCCGAUUGCGAAGGCAGCCUGCUAAGCUGCAACUGACAUUGAGGCUCGAAAGUGUGGGUAUCAAACAGGAUUAGAUACCCUGGUAGUCCACACGGUAAACGAUGAAUACUCGCUGUUUGCGAUAUACAGCAAGCGGCCAAGCGAAAGCGUUAAGUAUUCCACCUGGGGAGUACGCCGGCAACGGUGAAACUCAAAGGAAUUGACGGGGGCCCGCACAAGCGGAGGAACAUGUGGUUUAAUUCGAUGAUACGCGAGGAACCUUACCCGGGCUUAAAUUGCAGAUGAAUUACGGUGAAAGCCGUAAGCCGCAAGGCAUCUGUGAAGGUGCUGCAUGGUUGUCGUCAGCUCGUGCCGUGAGGUGUCGGCUUAAGUGCCAUAACGAGCGCAACCCUUGUUGUCAGUUACUAACAGGUUCCGCUGAGGACUCUGACAAGACUGCCAUCGUAAGAUGUGAGGAAGGUGGGGAUGACGUCAAAUCAGCACGGCCCUUACGUCCGGGGCUACACACGUGUUACAAUGGGGGGUACAGAGGGCCGCUACCACGCGAGUGGAUGCCAAUCCCAAAAACCUCUCUCAGUUCGGACUGGAGUCUGCAACCCGACUCCACGAAGCUGGAUUCGCUAGUAAUCGCGCAUCAGCCACGGCGCGGUGAAUACGUUCCCGGGCCUUGUACACACCGCCCGUCAAGCCAUGGGAGCCGGGGGUACCUGAAGUGCGUAACCGCGAGGAGCGCCCUAGGGUAAAACUGGUGACUGGG
rnacentral:rRNA from 1 species